GGGGAGUACGAUUUGCAAGAAUGAAACUCAAAGGAAUUGAUGGGGGCCCGCACAAGUGGUGGAGCAUGUGUUUCAAUUUGAUGCAAAGCGAAGAACCUUAUCAGGGCUUGACAUGCCGUGAAUCCUCUCGAAAGAGAGGAGUGUCUUCGAGAACGCAGACAUAGGUGGUGCAUGGCUGACGUUAUCUCGUGCCGUAAUGUGUUGGGUUAAGUCCCGCAACGAGCGCAACCUUCGUUUUUAGUUGCCAGCAUUGAGUUUGGAACCCUGAACAGACUGUCGGUGAUAAGCCGGAGGAAGGUGAGGAUGACGUCAAGUCAUCAUGCCCCUUACGCCCUAGGCGACACACGUGCUACAAUGACCAGGACAAAGGGUCGCGAACCCGCGAAGGCAAGCUAACCUCAAAAACCCGACCUCAAUUUGGAUUGCAGGCUACAACUCGCCUGCAUGAAACCAGGAGAACAUUAAUAGAAAAAGUUUACUAAACUUUUUCUAUUAAUGCCCCCACCCA
rnacentral:ncRNA from 1 species